UACGUAGGUGGCAAGCGUUAUCCGGAUUUACUGGGUGUAAAGGGCGUGUAGGCGGGGACGCAAGUCAGAUGUGAAAACCGCGGGCUCAACCUGUGGCCUGCAUUUGAAACUGUGUUUCUUGAGUACUGGAGAGGCAGACGGAAUUCCUAGUGUAGCGGUGAAAUGCGUAGAUAUUAGGAGGAACACCAGUGGCGAAGGCGGUCUGCUGGACAGCAACUGACGCUGAGGCGCGAAAGCGUGGGGAGCAAACAGG
rnacentral:rRNA from 1 species